rnacentral:rRNA from 1 species
GACGAACGCUGGCGGCGUGCUUAACACAUGCAAGUCGAACGGAAAGGCCCUGCUUUUGUGGGGUGCUCGAGUGGCGAACGGGUGAGUAACACGUGAGUAACCUGCCCUUGACUUUGGGAUAACUUCAGGAAACUGGGGCUAAUACCGGAUAGGAGCUCCUGCUGCAUGGUGGGGGUUGGAAAGUUUCGGCGGUUGGGGAUGGACUCGCGGCUUAUCAGCUUGUUGGUGGGGUAGUGGCUUACCAAGGCUUUGGCGGGUAGCCGGCCUGAGAGGGUGACCGGCGACAUUGGGACUAAGAUACGGCCCAGACUCCUACGGGAGGCAGCAGGGGGGAAUAUUGCACAGUGGGCGGAAGCGUGAUGCAGAAACGCCGCGUGCGGGAAGACGGCCUUCGGGUUGUAAACCGCUUUCGCCUGUGACGAAGCGUGAGUGACGGUAAUGGGUAAAGAAGCACCGGCUAACUACGUG